CCUACGGGUGGCUGCAGUGGGGAAUAUUGCUCAAUGGGGGCAACCCUGAAGCAGCGACGCCGCGUGGAUGAUGAAGGCCUUCGGAAUGUAAAGCCCUUUUAGUAGAGAAGAAAAUGACGGUACCUGACCAAUAAGCACCGGCUAACUACGUGCCAGCAGCCGCGGUAAUACGGAGGGGGCAAGCGUUAUCCGGAGUUACUGGGCGUAAAGGGUGCGUAGACGGGGUGUCAAGUCAGAUGUGAAAGCCUACGGCUCAACCGUAGAACUGCAUUGGAAACUGGCAUUCUGGAGUUCAGGAGGGGUAGGUGGAAUUCGUGGUGUAGCGGUGAAAUGCGUAGAUAUCAAGAGGAACACCGAUGGCGAAGGCGGCUUGCUAGACUGUAACUGACGUUGAUGCUCGAAAGCGUGGGGAGCAAACAGGAUUAGAUACCCGAGUAGUC
rnacentral:rRNA from 1 species